rnacentral:rRNA from 1 species
GACGAACGCUGGCGGCGUGCUUAACACAUGCAAGUCGAACGGAAAGGCCCUGCUUUUGUGGGGUGCUCGAGUGGCGAACGGGUGAGUAACACGUGAGUAACCUGCCCUUGACUUUGGGAUAACUUCAGGAAACUGGGGCUAAUACCGGAUAGGAGCUCCUGCUGCAGGGUGGGGGUUGGAAAGUUUCGGCGGUUGGGGAUGGACUCGCGGCUUAUCAGCUUGUUGGUGGGGUAGUGGCUUACCAAGGCUUUGACGGGUAGCCGGCCUGAGAGGGUGACCGGCCACAUUGGGGCUGAGAUACGGCCCAGACUCCUACGGGAGGCAGCAGUGGGGAAUAUUGCACAAUGGGCGGAAGCCUGAUGCAGAAACGCCGCGUGCGGGAUGACGGCCUUCGGGUUGUAAACCGCUUUCGCCUGUGACGAAGCGUGAGUGACGGUAAUGGGUAAAGAAGCACCGGCUAACUACGUG